rnacentral:rRNA from 1 species
AGUGAACGCUGGCGGUAGGCCUAACACAUGCAAGUCGAACGGCAGCACAGUAAGAGCUUGCUCUUACGGGUGGCGAGUGGCGGACGGGUGAGGAAUACAUCGGAAUCUACUUUUUCGUGGGGGAUAACGUAGGGAAACUUACGCUAAUACCGCAUACGACCUACGGGUGAAAGCAGGGGAUCUUCGGACCUUGCGCGAAUGAAUGAGCCGAUGUCGGAUUAGCUAGUUGGCGGGGUAAAGGCCCACCAAGGCGACGAUCCGUAGCUGGUCUGAGAGGAUGAUCAGCCACACUGGAACUGAGACACGGUCCAGGCUCCUACGGGAGGCAGCAGUGGGGAAUAUUGGACAAUGGGCGCAAGCCUGGUCCAGCCAUACCGCGUGUGUGAAGAAGGCCUUCGGGUUGUAAAGCCCUUUUGUUGGGAAAGAAAAGCAGCAGGUUAAUACCCCGCUGUUCUGACGGUACCCAAAGAAUAAGCACCGGCUAACUUCGUG